CCUACGGGUGGCAGCAGUCGAGAAUUUUUCACAAUGGGGGAAACCCUGAUGGAGCGACGCCGCGUGGAGGAUGAAGGUCUUCGGAUUGUAAACUCCUGUCAAAUGGGAACAAGAAAGUGAUAGUACCAUUAGAGGAAGAGACGGCUAACUCUGUGCCAGCAGCCGCGGUAAUACAGAGGUCUCAAGCGUUGUUCGGAUUCAUUGGGCGUAAAGGGUGCGCAGGCUGCGGGGUAAGUCGGAUGUGAAAUUUAGGGGCUCAACCUCUAAACUGCAUUCGAUA
rnacentral:rRNA from 1 species